AUUGAACGCUGGCGGCAGGCCUAACACAUGCAAGUCGAACGCGUGGCGGACGGGUGAGUAAUGUCUGGGAAACUGUCUGAUGGAGGGGGAUAACCUCUGGAAACGGUAGCUAACACCGUAUACCACCAGAUGUGCCCAUAUGGGAUUCGCUAGUUGGGGGGGUAACGGCUCACCAAGGCGACGAUCCCUAGCUGGUCUGAGAGGAUGACCAGCCACACUGGAACUGAGACACGGUCCAGACUCCUACGGGAGGCAGCAGUGGGGAAUAUUGCACAAUGGGCGCAAGCCUGAUGCAGCCAUGCCGCGUGUAUGAAGAAGGCCUUCGGGUUGUAAAGUACUUUCAGCGGGGAGGCGUUAACCGCAGAAGAAGCACCGGCUAACUCCGUGCCAGCAGCCGCGGUAAUAC
rnacentral:rRNA from 1 species